rnacentral:ncRNA from 1 species
CUUCGGGGACGACCCCGAAGGUUGCACGCCAAGCCGGGACGGCCCGG